UGCCAGCCGCCGCGGUAAUACGGAGGGUGUGAGCGUUAAUCGGAAUUACUGGGCGUAAAGCGCACGCAGGCGGUUUGUUAAGCUAGAUGUGAAAGCCCCGGGCUCAACCUGGGAUGGUCAUUUAGAACUGGCAGACUAGAGUCUUGGAGAGGGGAGUGGAAUUCCAGGUGUAGCGGUGAAAUGCGUAGAUAUCUGGAGGAACAUCAGUGGCGAAGGCGGCUCCCUGGGCUGUUUCUGACGCUGAGGUGCGAAGGCGUGGGUAGCGAACAGGAUUAGAUA
rnacentral:rRNA from 1 species